UACAGAGGGUGCUAGCGUUGUUCGGAAUUACUGGGCGUAAAGGGCGUGUAGGCGGUUGUAUAAGUCAGAUGUUAAAGACCCGGGCUUAACCUGGGGAAUGCGUUUGAUACUGUAUGACUAGAGUGCAGGAGAGGAGAGUGGAAUUCCCGGUGUAGAGGUGAAAUUCGUAGAUAUCGGGAGGAACACCAGUGGCGAAGGCGGCUCUCUGGACUGUUACUGACGCUGAGGCGCGAAAGCGUGGGGAGCAAAC
rnacentral:rRNA from 1 species